GACGAACGCUGGCGGCGUGCCUAAUACAUGCAAGUUGAGCGCUGAAGGUUGGUACUUGUACCGACUGGAUGAGCAGCGAACCGGUGAGUAACGCGUGGGGAAUCUGCCUUUGAGCGGGGGACAACAUUUGGAAACGAAUGCUAAUACCGCAUAAAAACUUUAAGCACAAGUUUUAAGUUUGAAAGAUGCAAUUGCAUCACUCAAAGAUGAUCCCGCGUUGUAUUAGCUAGUUGGUGAGGUAAAGGCUCACCAAGGCGAUGAUACAUAGCCGACCUGAGAGGGUGAUCGGCCACAUUGGGACUGAGACACGGCCCAAACUCCUACGGGAGGCAGCAGUAGGGAAUCUUCGGCAAUAGACGAAAGUCUGACCGAGCAACGCCGCGUGAGUGAAGAAGGUUUUCGGAUCGUAAAACUCUGUUGGUAGAGAAGAACGUUGGUGAGAGUGGAAAGCUCAUCAAGUGACGGUAACUACCCAGAAAGGGACGGCUAACUACGUG
rnacentral:rRNA from 1 species